AAAUGACGGUACCUGACUAAGAAGCCCCGGCUAACUACGUGCCAGCAGCCGCGGUAAUACGUAGGGGGCAAGCGUUAUCCGGAUUUACUGGGUGUAAAGGGAGCGUAGACGGCACGGCAAGCCAGAUGUGAAAGCCCGGGGCUCAACCCCGGGACUGCAUUUGGAACUGCUGAGCUAGAGUGUCGGAGAGGCAAGUGGAAUUCCUAGUGUAGCGGUGAAAUGCGUAGAUAUUAGGAGGAACACCAGUGGCGAAGGCGGCUUGCUGGACGAUGACUGACGUUGAGGCUCGAAAGCGUGGGGAGCAAACAGGAUUAGAUACCCUGGUAGUCCACGCCGUAAACGAUGACUGCUAGGUGUCGGGUGGCAAAGCCAUUCGGUGCCGCAGCUAACGCAAUAAGCAGUCCACCUGGGGAGUACGUUCGCAAGAAUGAAACUCAAA
rnacentral:rRNA from 1 species